ensembl:lncRNA
UUCACAGAGGAAAUUCCUGACUUUGUAGAGUGAUCCCUGGCAGGAGGAAGGCAGACAAACGUGGAAGGCAAAGCAGAUUACUGUAGCAGAAAAGGAGGCUGGCUGCUUCUUCAGCUGUGAGUCAGUGUCAAGAAUGAAGUGAAAGUGUGUAUUUCCUUAGCAUCUGGCCUGUACAUGCCAGUGGACUUCAAGUAUGAAUCUCCACCAUUAUUAGCUGAGCAACAGAACCAAGUGGGACACAGCAGGGAUGUCACCCCCAGCGUCUGUCACCGCCUCCCCCUGGAGUCAGAAGCCCUGUACUGAUUGUUACCGGGUUAAUGCAUAUGAGAACCACCAGAGGGCCUCAAAUAAAUAGAUGACCAGUGUGAAUGAAACCUUCCAGUACAAAGAGGUGAAAAAGGCUUAAAUCUUGAAUAAGCUCUCCGAUUAGAAUGAAGAGAGUGACAAAACAGACCCAAAAACCUUCAGCUCUUAAAUUCCCAAUACCUGGAGCCAAGUGGAACUGGGCAUCUCCAUGCAGAUUCUGCACAUCCGUGAGGUAUCCCCCAAGACGUAUGGAUAGGUUGGCUGCAAGAUCCUAACCAUAAUAUCCUGAGUAUUAAAAAAGAAAAGAAGAAGGUGAAGAAGGGAAUUAAAUUAUCAGUGACAAAUGCAGCUGUUCAUAAUAACACACAGUGACAGUGCAAGAAGCUUCUUCAGGCAAAACACCACCACCACUGUAACACAUGCACAUGCACAAAUCCAGCCCCAAGAAAUGCAAAUGUUAUCAUUUCCCCAUUUUUAGUAAAUCCUAACAUUUCUAAACAGUUCCAAACACUGUCUGGUGAGAGCUGUUCCACCAUUGUGACCUAACAGCACUGUGGGGCAGUGUCCAUGAAGCAUGAAGUGGCAGAAUAUGUGUUCACCCCAUCAGGGUGCCCUGCUGUGGGGUGACAGCCCGCUGUUUUAGCCCAAAGAGUCUGAAAGAGCCUGUACAGAUGGAAGCCUCUGUCAUGUUCCCAGGAGGUGGGGUGUGUGAGUUUGACCAACAACAGUCUGAGGAAAGAGCUGGUGGGGCUCCCUGCACUGCAGCACCCUUGGAAAGCACUGGAACCACAAGGUUUCCACAUGGUUCAGUGAUGAUGUUCACGCUGUCUCCUCCUGAGUUUUGUGAAGAAAAUCAGCGGCUGUGCUGUGCAGGCUGGAAAAACUGACCUUUGCACAGCCUUCAGGAAGGGCACCCUGGGCGGAAAGAAGGAGCCAAGUCACAGGCUGCUGGCAUGAUAAGGGCACUCCACUGCUCCAGAUUUCCUGUUAUUAGGGUUCUGUUGAACUUCCAUGCUCCUGCAUGGCUAAUUCUUCCCCUCCUCAUUACCCACGUGACAAAGCUUGGCACACAGAGCAGGCCCUGCGCUCCACUCCAGGCAUGAAGCCUGUAGCUUGGUGUACAGGCUUGGAGCAGUCAGGAAUUGCACAGCUUUGGGGCACAGGCUCUCAUGUUUACGUUAUAAGGCUCUCAGUGUAAAAUAAAUAAAUAAGGAUAUCUUUUCAAGUCCUUGAGAUAUGAACUGUAGUCUUACCGCUUAAUAUUAAUGUUUAUUAGGAAGAUCAAUACUCAUAUAAAAGAGGACCUCUGACUUUCAUCGAGUCGCAGUAUUUCAGUGUCUUCUGAUGUGAGAAAGACCUAUGCCACAGAUUUUGGCUGUCAACAAGCCACCCAUCUCCCUUCUGCUUAGGCACAUUUGGGCACAUGAGUGUAUGUGUCUGUUUUCUUAAAAGCAUGCCCAUUUGCAUCAGUGACAUUUUUUUCUGCUGGACUUUGUAUGAACCUAAAUGACUCCCUUUUGAGUCCUGAGUGACCUUGUAGAAGUCCACCAGGAUCUACCGUUUAUUUCACUUUGAUCCCAGCAGCUUUGGAAAGGACUUUGGUAUGUUUACCUUCAAGUUACUCAUCUUGUAUGCCCACAGUUUGUUUAUCCACUGUAGCCCACUGAAAUCUCCCCCCCUUUUUUAGCCUAUUAAAGAAAUAGGCCAAAGGUGAUUUCAGGGCCCCUAUCUGGGUGAGCAUCACCAAUUCCAUCAGAGACAACCUUUGACUUUCUCUUGUAAGUCAGCAGCAUCCCAGAUACCGUCAUGCCCUCACCAGUCACCAGCAAGUGAAGAAAUCUCAGCACACUGAGCCAAAAAUUGGCUCCACCUGAAGCAGAUUUAACACCACUGAGGAUACAGCAAUUAAACCAAGGACAGUCCAGGCGUAAUCACAGCUUUCUGAUUCAAGAGUGCUCAUCUGCUUUUAUACAUCCAGGCAGUUGCAUUGGCUUUAUAGUUUUUAUGUUUUUGAUGGGUUGGAGGUUGGAGUUGAUGAUCUUAGUGGUCUUUUCCAACCUUAAUGUUUGUAUGAUUCUAUGAUAUUAGUGUUCAAGGCUUUCCAGGUGAGUUGUUCUUUAGCAGAAGAAGGACUGGAAGCAGUGCUAAGCACAGAACUGUUCCAAUCCACCAAGACUGACAGCCUCCCGCUCCCCCUCCCAGCCAACCCCCGUCCCAGCCAACCCCCUGCCUCAAAUGGGAGGAGCUGAGAUACAGCAUAUAUAAACAAUAGGCAUGACUUUAUUAGUGGUGAAGCAUACUUGGAAUCUGUCUUUUUAUCAUGUUCUACUGAAUUUAUAUUUGUUCUGUUCACUAGUGACCUGUGAUUUCUGAGGAGAGGGUUAUACGGCUAAAAUGACUGUCAUUAAUUAACAGUGCAUCUGAACUUUGAUCCCUUUAGUUUCUGCCAUUGAGCAGACACUUGAUUUCAGUCUCCUUGCAUGUUUGGGGACAUUUUUAUUAGAUAAAACUCCUUGAGGUAGUCACAGAAAGCUUGAGAGAAAACCUGUUUUUGGUUCUCCUCAUGAAACACGUGUUUUUCAGCACACAGAAUCAUAGAAUCACCAAGGUUGGAAAAGACCCACAGGAUCAUCCGGUCCAACCAUCCACCCAUCACCAAUAGUUCUCAUUAAACCAUGUCCCUCAACACAAUGUCCAAAUGUUCCUUGAACAUCCCCAGGGUUGGUGACUCCACCACCUCUCUGGGCAGCCCAUUCCAGUGCCUGACCGCCCUUUCAGAGAAGUAGUAUUUCCUAACAUCCAGCCUGAACCUUCCCUGGUGCAGCUUUAAGCCAUUCCCUCUAGUCCUAUCACUAGUUACACGAGAGAAGAGGCUGACCACCAGCUCACUACAACCUCCCUUCAGGUAGCUAUAGAGAGCAAUGAGAUCUCCCUUGAGCCUCCUCUUCUCCAGACUGAACAAUCCCAGCUCCUUCAGCCUCUCUUCAUAAGGCCUGUGCUCCAGACCCCUCACCCACUUUGUUGCUCUCCUCUGGACACGCUCCAGGGCCUCAAUGUCUUUCUUACAGUGAGGGGCCCAAAACUGGACACAGUAGUCAAGGUGCGGUCUCACCAGCACUGAGUACAGGGGGACAAUUACUUCCCUGUUCCUGAUGGCAGCACUGUUUCUGAUGCAAGCCAGGAUGCCAAUGGCCCUCUUGGCCACCUGGGCACACUGCUGGCUCACGUUCAGUGGAGCAUCAAUCAAUGCCCCCAGGUCCAUUUCCUCUACACAGUUUUUCAGCCACUCUGCCCCAAGCCUGUAGCGUUGCCUGGGGUUAUUGUGGCCAAAGUGUAGGACCCGGCAUUUGGUCCUGUUGAAUCUCAUCCCAUUGGCUUCAGUCCAGCUAUCCAGCCUGUCCAGAUCCCUCUGUAGGGCCUCGCUACCCCUGGACAGGUCGACACUUCCAGCCAACUUGGUGUCAUCUGCAAACUUACUGACGGUGCACUCGAUGCCCUCAUCCAGGUCAUCAAUAGAGAAUUUGAAGAGGACAGGCCCCAGCACCGACCCCUGGGGAACACCACUCGUGACCGGUCGCCAGCUGGAUUUAACUCCAUUCAACCACCACUGUCUGGGCCCAGCCCUUCAGCCAGCUCCCUUACCCAGCCAAGAGUGUACCUGUCCAAGCCAUGGGCUGCCAACUUCUGCAGGAGAAUACUGUGGGAGACAGUGUCAAAGGCUUUGCUGAAGUCUAAGUAGACUACAUCAACAGCCUUUCCCUCAUCCACCAGACGGGUCACUAGGUCAUAGAAGGAGAUCAGGUUGGUCAAGCAGGACCUGCCCUUUGUGAACCCGUGUUGGCUAGGCCUGAUCCCCCGGUUGUCCUGCACAUGCUGUGUGAAAUGUUUUGCAAAGUGUGAAACCUCCCUCGCAACCUCAGCCAAGCUGUUCAUGAUACAUCAUGUCAUCAAUCCUCCUUCCCCAGAAAACUAUUUCUACCUUUUAUUUUUAAAUCCAGCUGGAAUACUCUCCAGUUUCUGCUUUACAGCCCAGUUCAGCCGUUCUGGGAGGUGUGGCCUGUCAGGUGAGCGCUGCCGGUCUGCCUGCUCUGCUCCACUGGAGAUGACACUUACAGCAAUUAAACCACAUAUGACAUUUAUAUGACAUUUAACUGUAAAAGAAGAUUCUCCUGCCUGAGUGAAGGAGGGGAAUUUUGCAAUGUGGUGUUGCAAAAAGCAGUCCUCUUACCCCAGCUGACAUGAUUUUGCAAUAUACAGUACAGAGUGCACCUGACUGAGCAAGCACUCCUCAACCCUUCCUUCUCAAACACAAGCAACAGUUGCUUGAAGGAUACCAGCAAUGCAGCACCAUGAUAUUAGAAACAGCGGUGCAAUCAUCUUCCUCAUAAGGAUCUGAUAUGGACCUGUACUGCAAAACCUGGCUGAUUCUAAGCAGCCUUACCGACGCACACUUAUAUUUAGAAUAGAGCCUGAAAUGGUCUUCUCUGAAGCACUGUUAAAUAAAUAAACUGCAGAGAUGUUCUUUAGCCCAGAAAAAUAAAUCUUAAAACACUUAACAUCAACUUAGUCUUCACAAGGUUAACAGAUCAGAUAAAAACAGCCAAAACUACUAGAGGUGAAUACAGCACGAAGUCGGCUUAAAUAAUUCCAGCCGCAGUUCUGGCUGGCUGUUUUAUUGUGUGUGACUAAUUCAGGACUCAUCCCAGAGAAGCCACAUUCUCCAGCUGCCCUGCAGCUCUGCCGCCCACAGCACGCACCACGCACACUGAGCGCUGCCUGUGUGGGGUGCACCCUUUGUCUAUAACCGCUUGGCUUACAGGGAUAAAAACCGCCAAGAGGAAAUUGGGCUUAAGCAAUGGCUUUACCAUAAGCCUAAGUAUGGAAAGACAUAGGAGUAUUUUGUUUGGUUGGAGUUUCUAUACUUAUACCCAAAAGACCGUGACAGGGCCAGAGUUUGCUCAAUAUAGUUUAUAAUAGUGGGAAUAAAAGCUUCACAUGUUCAUACCUGCCUGACCGCAACAGUGACAGCUGAGUCCUUCUGCAGGGAAAGUAGGGAAAGGCAGUGAUAAUUGCACCAACUACCAGAAAUAGCAUACAUCCUAUACUGACAAAAUACUUUUGUUGUUUGUUAUAGGCAGAACCUCUUGCUUCAGUUCCUGCUGCCCAGCUGUUUCUUGGCUGCCUAUUUAUGACAGUCAAUGACUGUAGCUGCUAAUUUGCAGAUACUUAUGUCCCAGCAAUCCAAAUUCUUUUUCAGAUCCAUUUUGCAUCUAUUUUACUCUUCCCUUCUCAAUCUUGUCUCUUAUAACUCCCACAACACAGUGUUCCUUUGGCCAUUUAUAAACGUGGGUCUGUCUCCCUUGCUGUGAUUUUAUAAAUAUUACAUCAUUGUCUUCUUAUUUGUACCUCCUUGGUGUUUAUGGUUUUUGAUGCUUGCUCCAACUUCAGAUCCUACUGAGAGCUGCAGAUGAUGAAAUACAUGUACCUCCACUAUGUAAAAAUUAAUCCUAACUGAUCAGGUUUUGCAAUGAAACUAAUUAGCUUGAAAAUUCAUUGUGAGAUCUGCAACCUGUGAGCUGCUGUACGUCUGAGGACUGAGAAAAGUGUGUCUACAUAUUUUAAAAUGUUUCUAAAAUAAGAUAGCGUUCCUUCUAAAGUGUUUUACCCGCUAUACACUUCAAUUUUCUUUAAUAUUAAACCCACUUCCACUAGGAUGUUUCUGCCAACGUGUAAGACUGACCAUGCAUCUUACAGAGUGUAUUCAUUAUUUACAUAAAGCAGCGUCCCAAGUCAGCAUUUUGAGGUGCCCAGUCAACUUGGAGCUACUGCUGUAUGCUCCACAUGGAAUAACACUUCUCAAGCAGCAUGCCAGCUCCUAGAGAUAACACAUCUGUAAUCAGAGAUAGAAAGACAAAUGCAGAUGCCACAUCAAGCUGUGCUCUAGCUUGGCUCCAUUUGAUACUGCAGGCUAACUAAAUGUCAUAGUCAAUGGCUCAAGUUAGUCUUCCCAUCUUCCUACCAGACGACUUGUCUCCACCCUAAUAAAGUGGUGUUUCAUUACUACAGAAGAUUGGGGUAGCAAUUCAUCUUUUCUUUUUAUUUUUCUGCACCUAUGGAGUUGUAAUAGCAGGGAAAUAAUACCUAGCUCUGUUCUGAAGUCGC